AGCAGACCUGUCAAAUUGCUGUCUCACAGAUAGAUAGCACCUUGAUGUCUGCCCUAGAAGUCCUGCUGCUGUUGCCGAUGUUA